AUUGAACGCUGGCGGCAUGCUUUACACAUGCAAGUCGAACGGCAGCGGGGUAGUGCUUGCACUACUGCCGGCGAGUGGCGGACGGGUGAGUAAUAUAUCGGAACGUACCGAGUAAUGGGGGAUAACCAAUCGAAAGAUUGGCUAAUACCGCAUACGUCCUGAGGGAGAAAGCGGGGGAUCGCAAGACCUCGCGUUAUUCGAGCGGCCGAGAGCUGAUUAGCUAGUUGGUGGGGUAAAGGCCUACCAAGGCGACGAUCAGUAGCGGGUCUGAGAGGACGAUCGGCCACACUGGGACUUAGACACGGCCCAGGCUCCUACGGGAGGCAGCAGUGGGGAACUUUGGACAAUGGGGGCAAACCUGGUCCAGCCAUGCCGCGUGUAUGAAAGAGGCCUUCGGGUUGUAAAGUACUUUUGUUAGGGAAGAAAAGGGAAGUGCUAAGACCACUUUUUGCUGACGGUACCUAAAGAAUAAGCACCGGCUAACUACGUG
rnacentral:rRNA from 1 species